UACGAAGGGGGCUAGCGUUGUUCGGAUUUACUGGGCGUAAAGCGCACGUAGGCGGAUCUUUAAGUCAGAGGUGAAAUCCCAAGGCUCAACCUUGGAACUGCCUUUGAUACUGGGUAUCUUGAGUAUGGAAGAGGUAAGUGGAAUUGCGAGUGUAGAGGUGAAAUUCGUAGAUAUUCGCAGGAACACCAGUGGCGAAGGCGGCUUACUGGUCCAUAACUGACGCUGAGGUGGCGAAAGCGUGGGGAG
rnacentral:rRNA from 1 species